AUUAUCCGUUCCGCUGCGCGAUGAAGGAGAACGGAAUAUCGCCGGGCUGUACAGUCAUAGCUUAUAGAAUAAAAAGUGAGCUGUUGACCAUAGCAAGGCUUUUGAGAUACAAAUGAAUCAUUACAAUUAUUAAAGGACGAACACCACAUGCUCGCUUUAUGGCCAUGACUAUUCUAAGAAGCCGUUCAUUUAUUCAUUUUUGAACGUUUAUCAUGUUUAAUUCAUAAUAAAUAUACAUUUUGUUCCCGGU